rnacentral:rRNA from 1 species
UACGUAGGGACCAAGCGUUGUUCGGAUUUACUGGGCGUAAAGGGCGCGUAGGCGGCAAUUCAAGUCAGCUGUGAAAUCUCCGGGCUUAACUCGGAACGGUCAGCUGAUACUGCUUUGCUAGAGUGCAGAAGGGGCAAUCGGAAUUCUUGGUGUAGCGGUGAAAUGCGUAGAUAUCAAGGGGAACACCUGAGGUGAAGACGGGUUGCUGGGCUGACACUGACGCUGAGGCGCGAAAGCUAGGGUAGCAAACGGG